rnacentral:rRNA from 1 species
GACGAACGCUGGCGGCGUGCCUAAUACAUGCAAGUAGGACGCAGAUGCGAACGGGUGAGUAACGCGUAGGUAACUACCUAUUAGAGGGGGAUAACUAUUGGAAACGAUAGCUAAUAACGCCUACUAGUAGAUGGACCUGCGUUGUAUUAGCUAGUAGGUAGGGUAAUGGCCUACCUAGGCAACGAUACAUAGCCGACCUGGGGGGGUGAUCGGCCACACUGGGACUGAGACACGGCCCAGGAUCCUUCGGGAGGGAGCAGUAGGGAAUCUUCGGGAAAUGGGGGAACCCCGACCGAGCAAAGCCGCGUGAGUGAAGAAGGUUUUCGGGUCGUAAAGCUCUGUUGUUAAGGAAGCGGUACUUAACCAGAAAGGGACGGCUAACUACGUGCCAGCAGCCGCGGUAAUAC